GAUGAACGCUGGCGGCGUGCCUAAUACAUGCAAGUAGAACGCUGAAGGAGGAGCUUGCUCUUCUGGAUGAGUUGCGAACGGGUGAGUAACGCGUAGGUAACCUGCCUGGUAGCGGGGGAUAACUAUUGGAAACGAUAGCUAAUACCGCAUGCCAACAGUUAUUGCAUGAUAACUGUUUAAAAGGGGCAACUGCUCCACUACCAGAUGGACCUGCGUUGUAUUAGCUAGUUGGUGAGGUAACGGCUCACCAAGGCGACGAUACAUAGCCGACCUGAGAGGGUGAUCGGCCACACUGGGACUGAGACACGGCCCAGACUCCUACGGGAGGCAGCAGUAGGGAAUCUUCGGCAAUGGACGGAAGUCUGACCGAGCAACGCCGCGUGAGUGAAGAAGGUUGUCGGAUCGUAAAGCUCUGUUGUAAGAGAAGAACGAGUGUGAGAGUGGAAAGUUCACACUGUGACGGUAUCUUACCAGAAAGGGACGGCUAACUACGUG
rnacentral:rRNA from 1 species